GAUCAUGGCUCAGGAUGAACGCUAGCGGCAGGCUUAACACAUGCAAGUCGAGGGGCGAGCGAGAUCAAAGCUUGCUUUGGUUGUCGGCGACCGGCGCACGGGUGCGUAACGCGUAUGCAACCUACCCACUACAGGGGAUAACACUGAGAAAUCGGUACUAAUACCCCAUAAUAUCUUGGAAGGCAUCUUCCGAGGUUGAAAACUCCGGUGGUAGUGGAUGGGCAUGGCGUUGUAUUAGCUGGG
rnacentral:rRNA from 1 species